GUUUCAUUAAUUGUUAUUCAUAUGGGCCGCGAAAACAUCGAAGUUCCAGUGUUUGUCUCUCUUCUCCGUCCAGCCGCGACCUCUGAACUUCAUCAUUGAAUCUGAAACGGUGGGAGUUAUGUUUUUUUUCGUGUGGUGUUAAAGCCUUAUUAAUUCAAUCUCCAUCAAUCAUCAAUCAUCAAUCAUCUUCACCACCCUUAGCAUUCAGAAGUGGAUCUCCCAGAUUCCUUUUAUCUCUACCAAUUGAAGUCGAGAUCUUCUGAUUGUAAAAUCAGGAACCUAGAGAGUGAGAAGCUACAUUGCCUUAUACCAGCACCUAAAGCAUAUAUGUUACGCCUCUCUCUUGGCCCAAAGAGUAUAGAUUAUGUGCCUUAUGAAGAGAUGACAACAAACAAGAGGCUACGUUCUGAAUGUGAAGGUAACGAGAGGUGUUGAUAAGGCCGAGGGAGAACUCAGUCAACAAGAGAUCUAUGUUAACGCUAGGUGAAACAACAUGCAAUAGCUUCUUCUUCAUCUCUUCAACUCUGUUCUACUCUGUUGUACUCUGUUUUCAGAAGCUGAUUAUCCCAGAGUUCAUUUCACCUUGCAGCUCAUAUGCUUUGUCGAUUGUUUUAAUUGGUGUUGGAGACGGGCGAUGGGAAGACAUGAGGAAGUUCGACGACAAUAGCCCUAAGCGUGAAUUUGACAACUUUCAGAUCAUGAAGAGAGAUUCAUCAGAGUCAGCCAAAGAAGCUGCAUUUUCUCUUGCUGCUCUAAUGGAGAUUCCCUUUCAGUAUCAAGCAGCAACUGACUCAGCCUACAAACAAGAAACAAAGGAAGAGUAACAACGGCAACAGGAGUCCAGCAGACUAAAAGAAGCAUUCUUAGAGAGGCGGAGGCCGAGGACAAUAUUAGCUGCGAGAAUUUUGAAAUAUCAAAAAGUAAACCUUCAAGAGAAUCAGUUAGAAAGGUAGUUCGUGAAGAAGAGAAGGGAGUUCUGUUGCUUGAUAAUGAUAGUGGUGGCUCUUACAAAGCGGCUGCACAUGAAAAAGAUGGAGAUAAUGCUCCUUUCCAUGAAAGUGAUGACAACAGUUCAACAUGGUACGACGAGAGAAAACUACUAUGGGCACCUUCGUCGCCACAAAAACUGAAGAUCGGUAUUGUUCUAUCCAAAGGACAAUUACCUGGUGGGCACACUGUCAUACAUGGACCAUUCGUGUUGUGUGCAGGUUGAUGUUGUCCUAAGAUUAUCAUCUCUAAGUUUUCUUGAUGCUGUAUCAAAGACAUGCAUUGAGAGCUGAAGAAGCAUCUCAUCACUGCUAGCUAUGUUGAUGAUGAAACAUCCAUGCUACAUGAUAUGACUAAGAAUGCAUGGAUAACGGUUCUUGGUGAAACGACAUCCCACAAUAGUGUGAAUCUCACUUGGCCUUUAGUGUGAAUCUCAACCCUCUUAAUAGUGCGCGUCAGAGGAAAAAUGUGCUUAACCCUAAGCCGCUUAUCCUGAAUCUCAUGUUUUAGCUCUGUAAAGAAGUUGCACACAGUGUGAGAUUUCAGUUGCCAUAAACAUUUUAAGAUAGAUCUUAAUAAAAAUAUUUUUUCUACAAUGGAAAGGCUAUAUCUCUUUAAUAUACUACAUAUGUACAUCUCUUUA